UACGGAGGGGGCGAGCGUUAUUCGGAAUUAUUGGGCGUAAAGGGCGCGUAGGCGGCCCGGUAAGUCAAAGGUGAAAUCCCUCGGCUCAACUGAGGAACUGCCUUUGAAACUGCCAGGCUUGAGACCGGGAGGGGGUGGCGGAAUUCCCAGUGUAGCGGUGAAAUGCGUAGAUAUUGGGAGGAACACCAGUGGCGAAGGCGGCCACCUGGACCGGUUCUGACGCUGAUGCGCGAAAGCGUGGGUAGCAAACAGG
rnacentral:rRNA from 1 species